rnacentral:piRNA from 1 species
AUGCCUCUUGAAGUGAACUUUGAACCCGCU